GCGGGAUACGUCCCGUGUUGAAAAGGAAUGUAGCCCUCUUUGGGCCGAACCUNAGG
rnacentral:ncRNA from 1 species